UGAUCUCUGCGUCUUACUCUUCCGCCAUCUUGAAGCUCCUCCAAGAGCACUUUUAACGUGGAAAACUACUGAGAAUUCCACAUCUCCUUUUUCUAUAAUAUGAAUAUACAGAUUCCCAAAGACACCUAGAAAAUGCAUCAGAAGAAAAACAGGACAAGGAGAAGAAAGGAGAUAGAAGAAAGAGGAGAGCAAAUUCUGAAGGCUUCCAAUUGCUAAGGAUCAAUCCAUGUGCCUCCUAAAACCCUCCAUGGUGACUGCUUAGGAGAAUCAACUGAGGAUCCCCAAGCAGGAAUUAUUAACAAGUAACUCAGCCUGAAUACCAGAAUAUGUUGGAUCAAUUUAAGAGGCAAUAUAGGGCUUCCCUGAUGGCGCAGUG